rnacentral:rRNA from 1 species
GGCCCGUACGGCUACCAUGCAAGUCGAGCGGAACGAUGGAGCUUGCUCCAGGCGUCGAGCGGCGGACGGGUGAGUAAUGCAUAGGAAUCUGCCCGGUAGUGGGGGAUAACCUGGGGAAACCCAGGCUAAUACCGCAUACGUCCUACGGGAGAAAGCAGGGGAUCUUCGGACCUUGCGCUAUCGGAUGAGCCUAUGUCGGAUUAGCUUGUUGGUGAGGUAAUGGCUCACCAAGGCGACGAUCCGUAGCUGGUCUGAGAGGAUGAUCAGCCACAUCGGGACUGAGACACGGCCCGAACUCCUACGGGAGGCAGCAGUGGGGAAUAUUGGACAAUGGGCGAAAGCCUGAUCCAGCCAUGCCGCGUGUGUGAAGAAGGCUUUCGGGUUGUAAAGCACUUUCAGUGAGGAAGAAGGCCUUGGGGCUAAUACCCCCGAGGAAGGACAUCACUCACAGAAGAAGCACCGGCUAACUCCGUGCCAGCAGCCGCGGUAAUACGGAGGGUGCGAGCGUUAAUCGGAAUUACUGGGCGUAAAGCGCGCGUAGGCGGCGUGAUAAGCCGGUUGUGAAAGCCCCGGGCUCAACCUGGGAACGGCAUCCGGAAC